rnacentral:misc_RNA from 1 species
CUAUUCCAUCCGUUCCAAAAAAAAAACGAACAUAUGACUGGAUGUGACACAUUCUAAUACAAUGAAUCUGGACAGAUGUAUGUCCAGAUUCGUAGUAUUAGAAUGUGUCACAUCUAGUACUAGGUUGGUUUUUUAUGGGACGAAGGGAGC